rnacentral:rRNA from 1 species
AGCGAACGCUGGCGGCAUGCCUAACACAUGCAAGUCGAACGAGACCUUCGGGUCUAGUGGCGCACGGGUGCGUAACGCGUGGGAACCUGCCCUUAGGUUCGGAAUAACUCCCCGAAAGGGGUGCUAAUACCGGAUAAUGUCUUCGGACCAAAGAUUUAUCGCCUUUGGAUGGGCCCGGGUUGGAUUAGCUAGUUGGUAGGGUAAAAGCCUACCAAGGCGACGAUCCAUAGCUGGUCUGAGAGGAUGAUCAGCCACACUGGGACUGAGACACGGCCCAGACUCCUACGGGAGGCAGCAGUGGGGAAUAUUGGACAAUGGGCGAAAGCCUGAUCCAGCAAUGCCGCGUGAGUGAUGAAGGCCUUAGGGUUGUAAAGCUCUUUUACCCGGGAUGAUAAUGACAGUACCGGGAGAAUAAGCUCCGGCUAACUCCGUG